UCUAGAUUUUAUUCUUACUAUUCUAUAGAAAGUCGAUGGAAUGUUCAAUUGGAAGAGGAACAUAACCUGAUAUGUGACAGAAAAGCAAGAAUAGAAGCAGGAAAUCCAUGGGAAGUGCUGGUACUGGGGCAGCUCUGAUCCACACAUCUUUCAGGGACCCAAGGGGCCCGGCUCCACCAUCUGGAACACACAGGCUCCUCAGGUUUCAUCUCAAGUGCUCACUCUGAAUCUCUGCUCUGGGAGCUGCCUGAAAGUGUGUUGGGAAGGAUUCUGAGGCUGUGCUGUGGCUUAACAGGAAAGAUACCACCAUUGCUUACUUAUGUCUGCUAUGGGUACAGGAGUAGUGAG